rnacentral:lncRNA from 1 species
GUACAUGUGAGAUACAGGAAAGUGAUGUAAAAACCAUCUAUAUAUUUCUCAUCAUUUCCUCUUUCUGGCUUCUUUGGCAGCAGAGAGGUGGCUGGCAGAGAGUGCUGAGCAUUUCAGCAUCUUGGGUGGCGGCUGCUAUUGUCCAGGUUUAGCAGUGAGUUUUCCUUGAUACCAUACUGGAGGAAGUUGAGUAGCCUGGUUCAGCCUUGGCACAUGGAAAUUACCAGAGUUCCUAGUUUUCUAGGCCUGCAAUGUUUACAUAGGGAAUGAAGAACUUUUAAAGAUUCUUUUUUGGGAGUUUUCAAAUGUCCAGUCUGUUCUGGUGUGGAUGUUUCCUGCAAUUAAUCUCAUUAAAUGAUUUUGGUGAGGCUCUUUUUGUGGACAGGUGGCUCUGGCUCUUGUGGAGGAGAGUUAGCUGAUGGCAUCCUGCUGGGCAUCUUGGCAUCUUGGCAUCUUGGUGUGGCUGCAGCUAUUGUACAGGUUUGGCAGUGAGCGUCCUUGAUACAAUAGUGGGAGAAGCUUAGUAGCCUAGUUCAGGGAAAACUGAAAGAGUAGCAUCAAUUUAUUUUAUUACAUGGCUCCUGUUGAGCUGGUCUAAUAAGAAUCUGUCCCACAAUAAAAUGAUAGUCUUUUU